CCUCACCUGUCACUCCCUUCCCCUUUUUCAUGGUUACAGUCAAAGAGAGGCUAACAUCCUGCCACUACGUUUGGUGGCCACAAAAAUCCCCUCGCGCCAUUGCAUAGAUAGAGCCUCUCAAGCCACUUGGCAACUAGCAGGGCCUCACCUGUCACCAAACAAAGGAUUAAUUGUUUCGCCUUGCGGCAUUAGCUAGCAAGCCAGUACUAGCACACUGUGG